AUUUGCUUCGGCAGAACAUAUACUAAAAUUGGAACGAUACAGAGAAGAUUAGCAUGGCCCCUGCGCAAGGAUGUCAUAUUGUUAAAUUCAGAAAUGAAAUUUUAA